rnacentral:rRNA from 1 species
AUUGAACGCUGGCGGCAGGCCUAACACAUGCAAGUCGAGCGGAUGAAGGGAGCUUGCUCCUGGAUUCAGCGGCGGACGGAUGAGUAAUGCCUAGGAAUCUGCCUGGUAGUGGGGGAUAACGUCCGGAAACGGGCGCUAAUACCGCAUACGUCCUGAGGGAGAAAGUGGGGGAUCUUCGGACCUCACGCUAUCAGAUGAGCCUAGGUCGGAUUAGCUAGUUGGUGGGGUAAAGGCCUACCAAGGCGACGAUCCGUAACUGGUCUGAGAGGAUGAUCAGUCACACUGGAACUGAGACACGGUCCAGACUCCUACGGGAGGCAGCAGUGGGGAAUAUUGGACAAUGGGCGAAAGCCUGAUCCAGCCAUGCCGCGUGUGUGAAGAAGGUCUUCGGAUUGUAAAGCACUUUAAGUUGGGGGGAAGGGCAGUAAGUUAAUACCUUGCUGUUUUGACGUUACCAACAGAAUAAGCACCGGCUAACUUCGUG